UCUCGUGUUUCUAACGUUUCUAACUAUGAAAAAAUAUCAUAAAUUCAGGUGUAUUGCACGUUACAUUCCAUUAAAAUAUUCAUGAAUCUGCGCUACAGUGAAAAACAUACAGAUUCGAAGUAUUUUGCUCAUAGAAUGCUUGCUUAGCAAAAUUAAACAAAAAUAUUUUGCUUUCAACCAGUCAGCUUCAAGAGAGUAACAUAAAAACCCUGGUUUGGACCUGAAUCCAAAUGUAUAGAAGCGGCAAAAACAAAUGGAAAAUGUUAAAUUUUGAACCCGUGGGCGGACGUUUGCGGCCGAUAGAUCCAGGAUUGUUGUAAGUUUGUUUUCAGCGUUGGUGGAGUAGUCUAUUGAUGUUCGGAGAAAUCGAUUACAGAGGAUAUUCUGAGAACUGUAAAUUUAGUGACAUAUACCAGAUUAAAAAGUCUUUUUUGUUUGAUUUGUUUAAACUCAUUCCCUUAUCCAUCAUGAUGUUUCACCGUAUUGGUUUAAGUAUGGGUCAAUUCUAUCUGAAACGAUUAUAUAGAGGAAGAAAAUUAAUGGGUAGAAAAUGUUCUUUACAGUAUACGGGGAACAACUCAUGUCGAGGUUUAGUGAAACUUUUGAAUACAUUUGUGAAUAUUGAAAUGUUCACUAUUAUAUUUUUGUUAAUUAUUAGAUCAUUCUAGAUCUUGUCCCAUAUGCAUAGGAAAUCAAGCAGAGAUGGCAUAGUUUUACAUUUAUGAGCAGCAGCUAGCAU